rnacentral:lncRNA from 1 species
GUUAAUAUUGAUAUUAAAGUGACAUGUGUUGUGUGAUUAUUGUCAUUAUAUGUAUUAUAAUUCGUUUAUUCGUAUUUUCAUGUCAUUGUGAUUCAUUAGUGUAACAUUUUUGCCCAGACCCAACAAUAAAAAAACAAACAAAAAAAUAAAUAAAUUAACAGUCUCAGUCCACUUACAACAAACCCAAACAGCCCAAACCCAAAAUAAAAAAAUCCUAGGCGGCUCGAUAAGCCCAAAAACAUAAACAACGUUAGAAAACCCUAGCCUCCCUCACCCUCUUCAGCCGCCAGCCUCCUCACGCGCGCCACCACCGUCGCACGCCAUCACCACGCUCGUCUGACACCUGCAAAAAUUGAAUGCAACAACAAAAAAGGCACGCCAAGCAAUAAAAACAACAGAGAAAAAGACAAAAAAAUAGAAAACAAACCGUUUGUAAAGAUCUAUAAAAACA